UGAGCUCCAGCCAGCCAGAGGACAGAUCAUUAAGGUAGAUGCUCCCUGGAUAAAACAUUGGAUCUCCACACAUAAUUUCUCGUCUAGAGGCAAUUCAGCGUACAUCAUACCCGGGAGUCGUUUAGUCACUGUGGGUGGAGUUUUCCAAGU